GGUUCAGAGGUCAAUGCUUAACCACUGAGACACACUGGCCAGCUGUGUGGAUUUUUUUCAUUGCCGGUAAUAACCACCAUGCUCAGAUUUGUCUGUGGAGCUCUGGAUUUUGCAGGUUCAUGGCUCUUCUCACUUGUACUAUUUUCUUUGUUCUCAUGCAUUGCUUGUUCUCACAGCCUCAGUGGGACAAUGUUAUAGUUUUUGUUCUCUGGCAGGGCAGCGGAGGCACAAGGAGCAGAUUUGUUCCUGUGGGUCACUCGCUGACGAGGAAAUGGGUGCUGUGAUGUGCUCUCUCAGAGGGCCUACCAGCACGUCUGUCCACCUGCUGGGCAGGAUUCAUAGGAUCACUCAGUAGGUGUUUUAAGUACUUAAGGCCAAACAUCAGAUUCUUGGAAACAUUUAAAUAACUGACAGGAUUUGUUCUUUUCUCUUACGAUUGUGUUUCUGAAAAGGAAAUUUCCUGAACACCAUCCCCAGAUUCUGCCUGAUGUCCCUGAACUGGUGCAUUUAAAAAUGUUAACCAGUAAGAGAGGAAUCAAUCAAAUUCAGAAUCAUCACUAUACAGCCAAAGCCUCUUGAUUUCUAUGGAGGAAAACAUUUGUUUCCCUGCCCGUUACCAAAUUUUGGAGGCAAGUUGGGCCCCUUCCGUCCGAGGCCACACUCAGAAUUCUUUGCAUUCCUCAAUGCUGAUCAGCCUUCCUGGCAGCCCUGAAGGAAGAAAUCAGAUAACAGAGUAAGCUCUGUGAUGGCAGAAAUAGACCAUAAGGAAAGAUUUCUUGCAUACACUGAACUGGAUCAUUAAACUCCCAAACUACUCUGAAG